CCUUUGUGCUAGAUGAACGAAUGUCUCUCCACAUGCUCAGUUCUGAGAAAUAAGUGUGUGUGGAAAUGUCCUUCAAAUUGCUUUUUGUGAACACAAAGAUUCUUUUCAGAUGGAAACUCCUCUACAUACAUAUAUCUGGGGAGGUACUGGCUCCAAUUCGUGUUUGCAGUGAAAACUACAAGAGCUUCAAACCGGCACUAAGAAACAGACUGAGAAACCAGAGAAAAAGUUUUUCCUGCAAACCAUUCACGUUUUGCUAGAUGAGCGAACGUCUCUCCACAUGCUCAUGUCUGAGAGAUUAUUGUUUGUGGAAGCCAUCUUUCACCUACCAUAUUGGGAACACAAAGUUUCUAUUCAGUUGGAAAUUCCUCUACAUAAAUAUAUAUGUGGAGGUAAUGGCUCCAACUCAGAUUUACAGUGAAACUGCAAGAACUUCAUACCGGCACUAGGAAACAGACGGAGAAACCAGAGUAAGUGUUUCU